rnacentral:rRNA from 1 species
GACGUUACCUACAGAAGAAGCACCGGCUAACUCCGUGCCAGCAGCCGCGGUAAUACGGAGGGUGCGAGCGUUAAUCGGAAUUACUGGGCGUAAAGCGCAUGCAGGCGGCCUGUUAAGUCAGAUGUGAAAGACCCGGGGCGUUAACCUACGGAAUUGCAUUUGUAAACUAGGCGAGGCUAGAGUCUUGUAGAGGGGGGUAGGAAUUUCAGGUGUAGCGGUGAAAUGCGUAGAGAUCUGAAGGAAUACCAGUGGCGAAGGCGGCCCCCUCGGACAAAGACUGACGCUCAGAUGCGAAAGCGUGGGGAGCAAACAGGAUUAGAUACCCUGGUAG